rnacentral:rRNA from 1 species
UAGGGAAUCUUCCGCAAUGGACGAAAGUCUGACGGAGCAACGCCGCGUGAGUGAAGAAGGAUUUCGGUUCGUAAAACUCUGUUGUUAGGGAAGAAAAAAUGUAUAGUAACUAUAUACAAAAGAGACGGUACCUAACCAGAAAGCCACGGCUAACUACGUGCCAGCAGCCGCGGUAAUACGUAGGUGGCAAGCGUUGUCCGGAAUUAUUGGGCGUAAAGCGCGCGCAGGUGGUUUAGAAAGUCUGAUGUGAAAGCCCACGGCUCAACCGUGGAGGGUCAUUGGAAACUAAUAAACUUGAGUGCAGGAGAGAAAAGUGGAAUUCCUAGUGUAGCGGUGAAAUGCGUAGAGAUUAGGAGGAACACCGGUGGCGAAAGCGGCUUUUUGGCCUGCAAAUGACACUGGGGCGCGAAAGCGUGGGGAGCAAACAGG